rnacentral:rRNA from 1 species
GACGAACGCUGGCGGCGUGCUUAACACAUGCAAGUCGAACGGAAAGGCCCUGCUUUUGUGGGGUGCUCGCGUGGCGAACGGGUGAGUAACCCGUGAGUAACCUGCCCUUGACUUUGGGAUAACUUCAGGAAACUGGGGCUAAUACCGGAUAGGAGCUCCUGCUGCAUGGUGGGGGUUGGAAAGUUUCGGCGGUUGUGGAUGGACUCGCGGCUUAUCAGCUUGUUGGUGGGGUAGUGGCUUACCAAGGCUUUGACGGGUAGCCGGCCUGAGAGGGUGACCGGCCACAUUGGGACUGAGAUACGGCGCAGACUCCUACGGGAGGCAGCAGUGGGGAAUAUUGCACAAUGGGGGGAAGCCUGAUGCAGCAACGCCGCGUGCGGGAUGACGGCCUUCGGGUUGUAAACCGCUUUCGCCUGUGACGAAGCGUGAGUGACGGUAAUGGGUAAAGAAGCACCGGCUAACUACGUG